GUGCAUCGAACUGCUGACGCUCUAUCUGCUUCAUUUUUUCCUCCCCAAGUGAAUAUUUCCUUGUGGGUUCGUAAGGUAUCCUGUGUUGCUUACCAAUGGAAUGGUAAUUCGAUGGCUUUGUUGCGUUCAUCCGCCUUGUUCCCAAACGGGUGCGAGGUGGACAAGAGGUGAGCCUUGUGUUCCCAGCAUGCUAACUGUUCUUGCAUUUGGCUGUUGCGGCCCAUGAGGUGUUCACCCGUUCUCUUGGAUGCGGAAUUCAACGUGUGGGCGUGCGAGGUCUUGACCUUGACUCGCCAAAACACAAUUUUCACUCGAAUGACAGCUACACCUGUCUUGAUCCUUCCGACCGAGGCCUCACAAUGGGGCUUACCGGACGAGGGGGGAGCAUGCGGGCGUCAGCGUCAAAGAGGAAAGC
rnacentral:misc_RNA from 1 species